CUCAAAUGGCUAAACAGGCUCAUUGUCACUCUAGUCUUUGUAGGGUUCCCGAAAGGACUUUCCUGGUGACUAGGAGCUUCCGCCCAUCUGAACUUCACUUCCUGUUUGCCUCAGACCUGCGAUAGUGGGCUGCUACAAUGUGCUAGAGAGGAAGGCUGUUUGCUGCUCAGAGCUGACUAUUUGAUGGAAUGAGGUGUCAAUCCCACAGCCCCACCCACCCAGCCUUUCCAGCCCUAACACCUCCCAGAGAGCCCGAGGCCCUGGCACCUACUUUUAUGGAUAGCACAGAACACAAAUUGAAAACCAUGAGCUAUGAUCUUGAAGAGCUCUGCCAGCCUUAGGUUAGGAGAAGACUCCAAGCCUGCCGAGAUACAAAUGCUGAGGCUGUCGCUGACAAUCUCAGCGGACCUGACUCCUGCCCAGAGAUGGAGGAUAAAUCCAGCGAAAGAAGGAAAAGACCCGGACUCCUGCGGUAAUGAUGUGUCAGUGCGGCCUUUCGGGUCACGUGACUCAUCAGGACAGAGUGGGAGCUGAGUGACAGAUGAAAUGGCCGAGCAAACCCAAGGUCUGGACUGAUCUACAAGGCACAGCCUUAGGAGGUGCACCAUGCAGACAGAAGAACAAACUCCCAGCCGGGGCAGUUGCAGGGAGAACCCGCACAUUUACGAACGAUGAAGGACACUAGAGGAUCCAAAGUAAACGACCAAGAAACCAUCGAACCACCCAAACCUACAAAACGAGAGUCGGAGGGAGGGGGGAUAGGAGGAGCCUAGACCGGAAGCCAAUGGAAUCAUGGGUACUGUGGUCAGGCGUGAGCUGGAGAGCAUUGUUCUAAGGAAGGCAUCGGGAAGGGCUGAAGAUGCUGAGGUGUGUGGUCAAAAGCUGUCGUCUUUAGAUGGUUCCAUAAAAGUGGAUGUUUGCUGGGGUGUAGCGCAGUGUGAGAGGAAUUGUCUCGAGUGAAGAAGGCCAUGGGUCGGGUCACUCCCCAGCACCACAGACACCUAUGUUUAUGGAGUGGAAUUAAGCCAGCAUGGCAGCAUUUGAAAAUGGCCUACCAGGGUAUGGGGAGGCCAGUGCAAUCUUCCAGAGGGCCUCUGGGUAGGGGAAGGGGGUUCUCUACCAGGGGUCGUGAGUCAGUCCCUCUUUCCAUGCUGUGCCGGCCUCAAGUCUGAGCUUUGCUUUUCCACAGGAAUGCACAAGUGAGGCCCCAAGGGUCACAGCUGUCACAGCCUCUGAUGCUGCUCAUCGCGGCUUUGUCGCCUGACCGGAGGACCUCAAGAGCGCGCUCCUUACAUGCACCUGUGCGUGGUUUUGACAGCUGUGGAAGGCGCAUCUCCUUUCGACCCAACCUUUAACUUUUUGUUUCUGACCUUUUUGUUGUGCCUGUGGUGACAACAUGUGUUGCUUAAUGAGCCAUUUUAAAGUGCACACAGCUCAGGGGCAUGUAGUAUGUUCACCGUGUGUGCAGCCACCAAUUCUCUGGUUAUACAACAUUUUUUUUUUUUUAGAGACAAAAGACCCAACGUGAAGGACGUAAGGAGGAUUUAUUUUGACUCCUGGUUUUGGUGGUUUCAGAUCACAGUUCUUAUCUCUAUUAAUUCUGGACCAUGAACCUGAAAGGAAGGCAGAAGGCAGAGCACCUGGCUUCAGUGGAGAUGCGGGCAAAGCAGAUGGCUACAUGGUCAGCCUGGUGGAGAAGCUGGAGGUGAGUCCUGCCGUGAGGGCUCAGGAGUCUGCACAGAAGAGCUGGGCACACGGGCAUGAUUUGAACAGGGUCUCCAAGGGAGAAUGUAAAGGGGAGAAUUGUUCUGAGCAGGGCAUCUGUAUGUGCAAAGGCACUGAGCCACCACCGCUGUGGGUGUGGCACAUCUAGAACAUCUGGAGGGGAGAUCCCGCCAGUGUGCAUGAGGAAGAAAGGAAGCGACUGAGUUACAAGGUGGUACCCAAGAGAGGCAGCCUUCCACUGUGUACUGUGGGAUGAAGACAUUCCCUGACAGCCAGUGAGUGUCCAUAAGUGUCUGCCUCAUGGACCAUGCAUCCUGGGCCCUGCCGGGCUAUCCCUCUCAGCCACCCACCUGGUACUGCCCUCCUUCUCUGCCUUCUUGACCAGGUCAUGCGAUAUUGAUAAUGAGGAAGAGAGAAGGGGGUGGUUUCUGGGAGCGACCUAUGAGAACUGAGCCUAGUGGGCAGUGGCCUGGGCCUGGGGAUAUGGCAACUUCCUGAGCAGACUUGGCUUGCCCAGAAAGGGAUGGACCUGACUCAGCUCCGUUCUCACAGCCUCACCCCAGACAGGAACAAGCGCUGUGCUGUCUGUCACCUUUUAUUACAAAACCUUCUGAAAUUCUCCAAAUCGUCUCGCCGGUUAUCGUGUUCAACCACAGUGUGCUUGCAGGAGCCUCGAGCUGGAACCACAAGGCAGCCACAGUGCGUCGGGGACUUCUGUUCUGUGCCCAGGAGGGCCCCCCUCCUUUCUCCUCCCCACUAGCCGCUGGGCUCCUAACUCCAGGUAGCAACCACUCUAUAGCCCCGUCUGGCUCCUUUCCCAAGGAAGAGCAGUAUCCCACCAUUGUCCAGGAGCAGGGCAGCGUCUGUGAACAGGUACCUUCCGUGGGAUCAGCAGCUUCACUUCUGAAGUGAGACCCCUUCCGUGGCGAGGCUGGACUCCAUUGUUUUACUUUGUUUUCUUUUAUUCUGUUUUGAGACAGGGUCUCACACUGUGUCCCAGACUGGUCUGAAACUAUCUAUGUGUAGCCCAGGCAGAAGUGGCAUACGCAGCAAUUCUCCUGUCUCAGUGUCCUGGCUGCUGAGCUUGCAGGCUGACAUUUUGAUGCAGGAUCUCCCAGUGACCAAUCAGGCUAGACUGACCGGCAAGCAAGCUCUCUGGUGCCUGGAUUAUGUGCCUGGAUUAUGAACGCUCAUUACCACACCUCGCUUUGGUUUCAUGAAGGUUCUGGGGUCACACUCACCCCCACUGCACAGCCACCAUCAGCUGUGUCCUCUGGACAUUCUGACAGGUUGUUAGAACUGUUUCUGAGAAAAUAUGAUUCCCCACCCCAGCUUCAGCAUGGAUCCGGGCACCCCUGACAUUCAGUGGCACUCACUUCUGCUAAUAGGGAUCUUAGAGAUGAUCUUGGAGACGGAAGGCAUCAGUCCAAAAUGGCCACACAGCAAAUACAAACGGUGAGCCAGACAACUUGUCUCGGUGACACCUGAAUCAAGGCAGGGACCUUGUGUCACAAAGGGAGCAGCAGCCAUAAAUAUCCACAGUGGUGUGAAAUACCAGAAUGCUCUCCACAGCCCAUGAAAUGGACAUAAAUGUUUACUUCACACUAUAAUUAUGAAGAGGGGCCAUGGAUCGCCAUAAAACCCUAAAGAUUGAUGCUAAACCAACCACCUCCUUAGUAUCAUAAAUUCUGCCUGCGGUUAUAUGCAGUAUUUAAUAAACAUUAAUGAAAAUUUUGUUUAUAA
rnacentral:lncRNA from 1 species